rnacentral:piRNA from 1 species
UGCAUUUGAUGUCUAGUUCAAACUCCUGAA